GCAUUAAUGGGGUAGUGGUAACCUGGGUCGUUGCCAUUCUGAACUGAAUUCUGGUUCGACCCGCCGGGGGUUCGAUUCCCCCUUAAUGCA